rnacentral:rRNA from 1 species
GCGUAGGCGGCUUCUUAAGUGGGAUGUGAAAUGCCGGGGCUUAACCCCGGAGGUGCAUUCCAUACUGGGAGGCUAGAGUGCAGGAGAGGAAAGCGGAAUUCCCAGUGUAGCGGUGAAAUGCGUAGAGAUUGGGAGGAACACCAGUGGCGAAGGCGGCUUUCUGGACUGUAACUGACGCUGAGGCAUGAAAGUGUGGGGAGCAAACAGGAUUAGAUACCCUGGUAGUCCACACCGUAAACGAUGGGCACUAGGUGUAGGGGGCGUAGCCCUCUGUGCCGCAGUUAACACAUUAAGUGCCCCGCCUGGGGAGUACGAUCGCAAGAUUAAAACUCAAAGGAAUUGACGGGGGCCCGCACAAGCAGCGGAGCAUGUGGUUUAAUUCGAAGCAACGCGAAGAACCUUACCAGGACUUGACAUCCACGGAAUCCUUAAGAGAUUAGGGAGUGCCCCUUCGGGGGAGCCGUGAGACAGGUGGA